ACCCCCUGACAAUGGGCAAAGAGACACCUUGUUAAUGGUGUUGUUCUUAUAUCAGUCAGGGGGCAAGAGCAGUUGGCCUUUGUUCAUCCUAACUGAUGCCUGGCUUGGUGGCCAAAAGCUGUUUCAUGGGGGGGGCCCCAAA